rnacentral:antisense_RNA from 1 species
CUGACGGCUACUCCUCAAGAUCCUCUCUGUUGUGAUUCAUCCCCCCCAGGCCCUACAGUUUCUCCUUCCUGACUCUUACAUUUCUUUGGAUGGCAUCACUAUUUUAGUUGCCAAGCACUGUGGAUUCUACCCCUCAGGGUCCAGACACCCAUUUUCCUUCCCACUGUUCCCUCCCCAUGGAGAAGCCUGUGGCUGACUGACAGCUCAACUUGGAGAAGGUGUUACCUGGGCCAGGUGGGGAAGGUAGGGUUGUUUGCAGAGCAAAGAAGUGAAGGAAGUAUUAACCCUUUGCAUGGCCUCCUGAGAAUCUGACAAGACGUAAAUAGCCAAGAAUAUCUGUGGAACUUAAUCAGUGAGUUACAAUAUUUAUCACUGCAAGUGUGUUGUUCAUUGACACUAUAAAGCCAUAUGGAAUUAAGCAGCCUUGAAACACAAAAUGGAGAAAGGCUAAGAGCUGAGAAUUGUUGCCUUCAGGGAAAUAUAAUCAAUGUCAAGCAAACAACCACCCCAAAAUGGUUAGCUUUAUCAGCAUUCAGGCCUACAGUGAAAGCAAAUGUUCCAGAUCUGAGUUUCAAUUUUUAAAGAAUAAAC